rnacentral:rRNA from 1 species
GACGAACCGUGCGAACGUUGUUCGGAAUCACUGGGCUUAAAGGGCGCGUAGGCGGGCUGCCAAGUCUGGGGUGAAAUCCCACGGCUCAACCGUGGAACUGCCGUCGGAUACUGGCGGUCUCGAGGGAGGUAGGGGCAUGCGGAACUGUGGGUGGAGCGGUGAAAUGCGUUGAUAUCCACAGGAACUCCGGUGGCGAAAGCGGCGUGCUGGACCUCUUCUGACGCUGAGGCGCGAAAGCUAGGGGAGCAAACGGG